CGCUGUGAGGCGUGGGCUCCGGAUCAACUAAAUCAAAAUCGCCGGAAGUGGGCCCGGGUCGCCAGGAAUUUGUCAAGCUCGCCAGGGGGUUCAAAUGCGCAGCACCCUCGAGAGCCACAGCCCUGGUUGGUCGGGUUCCGGAACAGAUCCAUCCAUGUUCCUGGCACACAUCUGACUAUGAUGGAAUCUAUUUCAUCCGUUUGCUGGUCUUAAGAUUUAUAGGAUCCACCGAGUGCUCCCAACAAUGAAUAAAAAUAGAUCCCCAC